UAAUGUGCUCCCAAGAUCCUCUAUAUAGGGCAAGAACACCUACACUCAGCUAUUGACUAUUGGCUCAUAAUCUCCCCUUUGCAGGAGCACUGCCCUUACCUGGAAUGAAACUGCCUCCCAGAGGACUUUACACCACCACAGCCAGACCCCAUUGCCACACAGACUCUGGGAUACAAAGACCACUCCCUCACUCCUACUGCCUCCUGCUGGAACCCUAGGUCUCCUCAUGAGAGUAUUUCUUUAUCACUUCCAAAAGGGUGACCCAUCUAAGGCUCUGAUUGGUGAAAUCCUGACCUACAAUGGUGCCAAAAUGAUUCUUGAAAGCCAACUGUAAGAAUGGAGUGGUGAAGGUGACUCACUUGUUAGCAAGAUGGCAAUAAAUAUCCCAGUAAGAUCUGGAGGCCAGAAGUCUGAAAUUGAGGCGUUGGCAAAAUUAUGCUCUCUCCAAGGACUCUCGAGGAGGAUCCUUCCUUGCCCCUUCCAGAUAGAAUUGGCAAACUGAUUGGAUGGCCCAAGAAAGCCUAUUUUCAAGGGAUUAAGGAGCAUCUCAUGGAGGAAUUUGUCCUAAGGGAUGAAGGAGCCAGGGAUGAAGAUCGUAACUUUAUAACACAAUCGAAGUCCUCAGACAAAGUCCUCAGAAGCAUGUUGGCUGCUAUUAGAGUUCAUGUAAGUUAUUUUGGACCUAUAUCUGAAUCCCGAGGAGGAAAGGAAAUGUAAAUAAAAACUUAAAAGUAGGUUUUACUUGGUUCUGAAAUGCAUCAGGGGCCCUCUAAAGACUACAAACCAAAGGGAAUCAUAUUCUUCUCAACACCACUUAUCUCUCUCCUGUCCUUGCUCUGAGAUGAGAUGGACCAACAGGAAGCUUUAGCACUCUAAAGGAGAGAUACGCUGCUGAACAGCUGGACUGAUGAUAGCACUCAUGGAUGAGCACCCACGCCCCUGGAAACUCCAUUAGGGAGAAAACAGGAAUGUGCUUGGUGCCUUGCACGAUGUUUGGAGACACUGGAACAUUCCAUCUAAG